UUAUCUUCGCACGCUGACAAGUCAAACAUGCCUUGGCCCAUUCACGGCAGUUCUUACGCAUCAGUGGCCAAACGAAGCGUUGCGCAACGAGUUUAGCUGUCGCAUUGGGACCUGGAUGACUGAGCGAGUGGAGGC
rnacentral:pre_miRNA from 1 species